rnacentral:rRNA from 1 species
AACGUAGGAGACAAGCGUUAUCCGGAGUUACUGGGCGUAAAGGGCGUGUAGGUGGUUGCGUAAGUCUGGCGUGAAAUAUCUCGGCUUAACCGAGGCAGGUCGUCGGAUACUGCGUAACUGGAGGACGGUAGAGGCGUGUGGAAUUCCGGGUGUAGUGGUGAAAUGCGUAGAGAUCCGGAGGAACACCAGUGGCGAAGGCGACACGCUGGGCCGUACCUGACACUGAUGCGCGACAGCAUGGGGAGCAAACAGG